UUCCAGUGAUGACCUCUUUUUUUGUGCCACGUGUCUGGGCCACUGAUUUAUAUUGAUGGGAUUGAGGAACUGAGGAA